AUCUAACAUUGCUCUUUCCAUUGAGAAACAAGUUUUGCUUCCCUCCAUAAAGAUGGGCUGUUGUAGAUGUUGCGGUGGCCGGGGCUGCAGCUGCUGUGGUGGCCGACGAGCUCAGCCAAGAGUGGUCUAUUAUGUCGGGAGACCUGUUGCUCCCUGCUGUGGUUAUCGCCAGUACACCUACGCCCCCUCCUAUGUCCCAGUGCGAAGCUGCUGUGCUCCAGCACGCUCUUGCUGCUACAGUCAACAGUGCUGCAGCCAAGUAAAGAAAUUCUAAGGAAGUUUCUCUCUGCAAAUGGGAGGCCUGCACUUUUCCAGUUUAACAUCGGGGAGAAGUUCUACCUCAUUGAAAGCUGCACUUUGAAGACCUCCUAGUUAACCUCCUACUGAGCUAACCUCCUACUGUGCUAAAAACCUGUGAUGGUUCCUGUCUCCUCGGUGAAUUGGCACCUCAUUUGUUCAUUUCCUUAACUUUCUUCUAUGAAUUACAGUUUAAGAAUUUCGAGGAGCUGAUGACAGAUUCAUUUUCUUAUCUUAUCUCAUCUCACUGUUCUUCAGUACCUGUUUUCCUGCAAUGUACGUGCACUACAGACUUAAACUGGUUUUGUCAUCAUUCAUUUCCUUCUUAAACUAUAAUAUAUGAGACAACGACUAAACCAAGAAUUCUCAGCACCCUUGACAAACUACAUUUUCCAAGAUGCCUCAGAGGAAAUGAUAUUAUAGGACCAUUUUUUGUUUAUAGUGCAGAAAGUUCCCGUGUUUCAAGCAUUAAAAUUUUCUGAAAU